rnacentral:rRNA from 1 species
CCUACGGGAGGCAGCAGUGGGGAAUAUUGGGCAAUGGGCGCAAGCCUGACCCAGCAACGCCGCGUGAAGGAAGAAGGCUUUCGGGUUGUAAACUUCUUUUCUCAGGGACGAAGCAAGUGACGGUACCGGAGGAAUAAGCCACGGCUAACUACGUGCCAGCAGCCGCGGUAAUACGUAGGGGGCAAGCGUUAUCCGGAUUUACUGGGUGUAAAGGGCGUGUAGGCGGGACUGCAAGUCAGAUGUGAAAACCACGGGCUCAACCUGUGGCCUGCAUUUGAAACUGUAGUGCUUGAGUGCUGGAGAGGCAGACGGAAUUCCUAGUGUAGCGGUGAAAUGCGUAGAUAUUAGGAGGAACACCAGUGGCGAAGGCGGUCUGCUGGACAGCAACUGACGCUGAGGCGCGAAAGCGUGGGGAGCAAACAGGAUUAGAUACCCUAGUAGUC